AAGUCGCAAUCAAAAUAAAAUGAGAUCACUUAAAAUUGCUUUUUAGCACCUUAGCAAUCAGCUAAUCCAAACUGGCUCUUAAAAGUCGCAAUCGCUAAAGGGAUUAUAAGGUACAGUGACCAAAUGCGCUACUGUGAGUCGCAAUGUCGAAAUGAGAGUUAUAAAUAGUUAAAUGCGAUUUGUAAUGCCGGCUCAUUUUGAUUGUUUUAUAGUAAAGAUAAAAUUCCUUCUGAGGCUUCGUGAUGCGUUUUCGUUUGAGAAAAAAUCCGUAGGAGUGAAAUAGCCCUCCCCAGAUUCCCCUCCAAAAACAUUUGAUUUUAGGCAAUUCAUUAACCAAUCUGUUGAUAUUAUCUCUUGCUUUGAGUUAUGAGCAUGAUUCAUAGUAUUCUUCUACCUUUUCUUCUGUUUCCUGUUCAUUUUCUGCUUUUCAUUUUUGGUUCCUAGAUGCAUUUCUAUAUUGUUGCUAAUCAUAUGCUUCUCUUCCCUAGGUUCCAGUUUACUGUUUCAAAUGCUCAGUACAGUUAUCGCAGUUGCUUUUGUAUAUUGAAAGAAAUGGUAGAACUGGUGGCAGUGAAAUUAAAAUAAAUGACUUACAUGACUAGCUAGUUUAUCAUAGUUUGACACUAAGUCCUUGCUUUUCGUAGAAUUUUCAAUUAUGUGAUAGUGUCGUGGAAUCAGCCUCCUGAUGCAAGCAUCAGGGUAGGCUGCCUACAUCACACCCCUUCGGGUGCUGCCAUUCCCCAGACCCUCCAUGAACGCGGGAUGCUUCGUGCACUGGGCUGCCCUUUUACUUUGUUUAGGGUAUUAGUGCUUCCAAUGAUUAAGAGAUGGGAAUGGUACUGUGAAAUGGUUGAUGACGAUGACACACACGUCUCCUUGCACGUCCUGAGCGAUCUUUCAUCUUUGAUAAUACCCCCACUGCAGUGUCUUAAGAAUCGGCCUCGUAUGUUACGACGGUUGGAUCUGUGAAUGAUGACCCGAGGAACCACUUCCCUUCUGAGGAACAGAGAGAGAGAGAGAGAGAGAAGGCUAGUUUACAAACGUCGUGCAUCUUAGCCCGAGGAACCAGCAAAUCCACCCCGACAAUGUAAUCCACCACACCCCUGACUGCCACAACCUUGCAGUGUACAUUGGAUGAUAUGGCAGCGCAUUUUUUAUGUGAUCAGCUUAAUGUAAAUAUAUUGAUGUACAUGGGAUGAUAUGGCAGCUUAUAUUUUGAUGUGAUCAAUUUAAUGUAAAUAUUUUGAUAGCUAAAUGUGAUCAGCUUAAUGAACAUGGGAUGAUAUGACAGCUCCUAUUUGCUGCUUGUGUUGUAAAUAUUACUGAAACUGAAGCAGUUGUUUAGAUUUAGUGAUAGAUUAGUUUGAAAUUGGAAGCUACUGUAUAUUGAUGUCUCUAUGUAUUUGCAGCUGGCGUUCACAGGUGGUAUAAGAAGUGAAUACAAUAUUGUACUUUGGCGUCUGUUGUUGAAGAAAUCGUAUCUGGAAUACGAUUUAUAGCUGUUCAGUGGAAGCCAAAGAUGAACCAGAACUCAAUUGUCAAUCUUCCUGGAGCUAUUGGAACACCUUCAGAAGCUGUAUUUUUGGACACUGACCGGUGUCGGCUGAGCUUUGUCAGUUUUUAAUGCUGAUUUAAUAUCUUCGAAGGAUUUGGGCGAAGUAUCACACACUGAACCACCAAGCUGUCUGAAGGGGCAAAGAAAAAAAGGAGAAGGCAAUGAAGUAUCUUUACUGUGCCAGCUUGUCAGUUUUGGUUACUGAGGCCUUUGAGUGCUGAACCUGGUGGGAGCGAGCAGUUGGAUAAAGCUAGCUAUUGUGUUCGAAAUUCAGGGUCUAGAUCUCCUGGAUCUUUUGGAACUUUAGAUGAUCAAAUGACAGAGAAGAAGAGUCUUCAACUGCUCUGGAUUUGGAAAAUUACUCAAUUGUUGGGUAAGUUCCAGAUAACAGCGCGUCUUAUACUCUCUCCAAGUCAAAACAGAACAUGCUCCUGAUUUACCUAGAUUGCCAGCCCUUUGUUCACAUGCCACGAGUAGCAUUUCUGCAUCGUCAAUUCCAAUGCUGCAGCAUGUACAACAGCCACAACAUGUUUCACAGAUGCACCCCCAAGUUCAUGUUUCCCAUUUUGCUAAUCUUAUGCCAAUGAGUAUGCCUGGCUAUUCUAGUAACCCAACCUAUCCGCAUCCCUAUAUGGAAGCAAUUACUUGCUGAUGCCUGGAGUUAGCUCUCAUCUUAGCACAAAUGGGCUUAAGUAUGGAAUCCAGCAAUUCAAGCCUGUCCCAACAGGAAGUACUUCAGGUUUAGGGACUUUUACUAGUCUGACUAGCUAUGCCGUUAACACUUCUGGUGUAAUUGGCAGUACAACAGGGGUUGAAGACUCAUCCCGGUUGAAGUACAAGGAUACUAAUUUUUAUGUUCCUAAUCCGCAGGUGAGUAUCUUUAUUCCUUUCACUUUAACUAUCGAGAAUCAGCUUUUCUUUCAUGUCAUAAGUUGUAUACAACACAGUAACCACACUAUCGAGAAACCAUUGCCCUGUCGCUUAAAGUGUCAAUACAAUGCGAAGUGAGGGCAUAUAACCUCACAUGAUUGUAGUGAUCAUUUUGGUGUGUGUGACACCUGCUGUAGAUCGUGAUGCGCAAAGUAGUCCCAACACGAAGUGAUCAAAUCUUCGCAUCUCCACUUCAAAACUUGAAAGAAAAUAGGUGACAAAAAGGAGAGAAGGGAAAGGAGUUUUCUACUUGCGCAACUAGGACUUCUCUCCACGUACACUUGAGCAUUCUUUAUCUUCUUGAGCAGUUUUAACUCAUCUUCUUGUACUUCUUCUGUUUCUCUUCUUUUGUUCUUCAAACAAUGACUUCUUUUCUACUCUGAGUAUGCAAAUUCUCUACCAUUUGUAACGCAUCAUCUUAUGCUACUUUUGCUUUUUUUUUUAUACUUCCUUUUUCUCCUUCUUGAUUAAUUGAAGAUGGAAUAUCAAUAUUGCUUCUGAAGUUGCUAUUACGUCCAAUUUGAGCUGUUGGGUUAAUAUUGUUGUUGUAGUGUACUGCAUGCUGAAAUUAGUAAUUUGAAUUGCGCUUUGAUAUUUUAGGUACUAACUUCAUAUAUGUUAGGUAUUAUGUAUUUUUGGUCCAUUUUGUGUGUACUCUGCUUCUCGUGUUGCUUUUUUUUGCUUUAAAAAUACUGAUUGAUAGAGAAAUGGACGGAGCCCCACUUCAGCAAGAACGGAUUGAAAUGCAGCUGCUGGCUUGAGUCAUAGACCUUGGCCUACACUGAUGAAUUUCCUCGAGUUCAAAGUUGUGAGUUGGUGUGAGUUGUCAAUCUUCUGAAAUCUAAAGACAAUGUCGCUGCUUGUAAUUUAAUCUGAUGCAGACGUGCAAGAAAUGUGAACGAAAAUGUAGAUCCGAACAUCUUCCUACUUUUGUUAUCGUAGACUCGUAGUAUUUGGGGUCAGAUGCGUCAAUCGCUGUUUUGAUCUGUAGGUUAAUAUUGUUUACAAGUUGCGAAUUAUUAGGAAUGUUCUUGGUUUGGGGACUGAAAAUAAUUGGGAAUUGAUUUGCUCCUUGAAACCUGAAAUGUGGAUGAAUCAAAGACAACAUCCUAGUUUGGACUCAGGUUCAUACUAAAACAUGCCUGGACAUUACAAUCGCCUCAUGUUGCCUAUCUGCCGUUCCACACUGGUCAUGGUUCUUUCAAUGCCGCAGAAUCAUCCCAUAUGCAAUUUCAAGGCUUGUAUCAUCCUCCACAGCCUGCCACAAUGGCAAAUCCUCAUCAUUUGGUCAGUGCCAUGGCAGGCAACAUUGGAGUUAGUGUGGCAGCAGUUACGCAUGAGCUCAAGAUGGCGCUAUCACUUAUCAGCAAUCUCAGUUGUGUCACCAGAAUUGGAAUGGCAGUUUCUGAAAUAAUAGAUGAACUAUAAAUCACAGUUAAUGAACCCCCUUUUUGAUUAACUUUAGCUAUAGGGCUUUCAUCAAUUUGUGGUAUGAGAAUCAGUCCUUCCAUCUUCUUCUUUUUGGUUUUGUUUUGUGACAAGGAGCUAGUUUUGUUGUUUAAUUUUUGUUUUCCUCGAGGAUUUGUAGUAGGUGGUGGGAGGUUUUGGCAUAGUUAAGUAUUACAGAAUGUUUAAUCAAGUUCUUUUAGUUUGAAGGGCUA